CGGUGAUCCAGACUUACCGACGCCAGUACGACUCACAGGGGGUCAGAUCGCCAAUUCACUGGGCUACCUCUGUUGCAAUGUUGAGGAGACAUUGAGAGAGGGUGAUGGACGAGCUGGGAGGCCAAACAGCAACAACACAAGAGCAAGCAGAGGAAGUCUACCUUACCCGAUAAGAUCAUAUGCACAACCCAAGGCAGCAUCUUCAGAGAGUUUCAACGGCACUCUUGUCUGAUGGUUGACCCUCCAUUUGGAGAUUUGUCCAGAGGAAGCCAGAGGCAGAUUUCUGAGAGCGAUUGAGGAGGAAGACAGGGGCUCAAUUCAGCCGCCCGGCAACUAAGUGCUCUUCAAGCUAGAUAACGGACAGCAGCG